rnacentral:rRNA from 1 species
UNNUCAAAGCGUGGNGCUUAANUCCAUUUNUGCGAUGGAAACUGGAAGACUAGAGUGUGGUAGGGGCAGAGGGAAUUCCCGGUGUAGCGGUGAAAUGCGUAGAUAUCGGGAAGAACACCAGUGGCGAAGGCGCUCUGCUGGGCCAUAACUGACGCUCAUGGACGAAAGCCAGGGGAGCGAAAGGGAUUAGAUACCCCUGUAGUCCUGGCCGUAAACGAUGAACACUAGGUGUCGGGGGAAUCGACCCCCUCGGUGUCGUAGCCAACGCGUUAAGUGUUCCGCCUGGGGAGUACGCACGCAAGUGUGAAACUCAAAGGAAUUGACGGGGGCCCGCACAAGCGGUGGGGUAUGUGGUUUAAUUCGAUGCAACGCGAAGAACCUUACCAGGGUUUGACAUCCUGCGAAUCUCUUGGAAACGAGAGAGUGCCUUCGGGAACGCAGUGACAGGUGGUGCAUGGCUGUCGUCAGCUCGUGUCGUGAGAUGUUGGGUUAAGUCCCGCAACGAGCGCAACCCACGUCGUUAGUUGCCAGCAUUUAGUUGGGCACUCUAGCGAGACCGCCGGUGAUAAACCGGAGGAAGGUGUGGAUGACGUCAAGUCAUCAUGCCCCUUACAUCCUGGGCUACACACGUACUACAAUGCUACGGACAAAGGGCAGCAAGCUCGCGAGAGUUAGCAAAUCCCAUAAACCGUGGCUCAGUUCAGAUCGUAGGCUGCAACUCGCCUACGUGAAGGAGGAAUCGCUAGUAAUCGCAGGUCAGCAUACUGCGGUGAAUACGUUCCCGGGCCUUGUACACACCGCCCGUCACACCAUGGAAGUUGGCCACGCCCGAAGCCGUUACUCCAACCCUUGUGGAGGAGGACGUCGAAGGUGGGGCUGAUGACUGGGGUG